UUCAAGUGGAAUUCUCGAUCUAAAGGAUCCUGUAAAUGAUAAGGAUGCUGUUAACAAACAGUGGGUAGAAAAGAAUUUCCUAAAACCUUCAACUGGCCUUACUCAAGCAACGGCUGACUUAAGAUAUGUAAGAACACGGCGACAUAUACAUGCAGAAUGGGUUUGGGGUUAUCGUGGUGUUUCAGUUGCUGCAACAAGGUACUACGCUUACUGUCAAGAUCAGAUUCCACCUUCAUGGAGAACCGAUCCUAUUAAUAAUAUGACAGACCUCAACCUUGAGUCGAUAACUAUUAAAACAGACUCCCCAAUUUUUUCAACCGUUCUGAAUAUACCUAUAGGGCUCAUCCUGUGGGCUACCGUUUGGGAAAAGCAAUCUAAUGGAAAAUUUACCCAGGUUAGGAAGGAAAUUGUUUUUGCUACAAUUGACCUAAGAAGGUUGUCCUACACUUGGUUCAAUGGAACUUUCACAACUACUGGUGGAAGUACAGCUUGUUAUGUUUUCAAGGGUAAUAGUAUGUUCUAUUUAGGAGCCCAGGCUGCGUUUGGUAGAUAAUACUUUAGCUUGGUGUGUUAUAGUUAAACCUGAACACUCAAUGCCCAUUGGUAUGAGUAUGGAUAUGUCCUUUUGCUGGUCACUCCGAUAUUCGGGGUCAGGUAGUUAACAUGUGGUCUAUCAUAAGAUAAGAUGUCAAGGUGGAGGUCAUGCUUCUCCUGCUUAGGUAAGAUUUGUGGUUGUCGUAAGAGUUCUAGUAGAACUGGGAAGGCUGGUGAUAUAAAUUUCUCUGUAUCAAAUAAUAUUAACAUUGGAGUGAGCACACAAGAUAAAAAAGAUGAUUCAAGUAAUGUGUUUGAUCCUAAGAGCCUAGGCCCCUUGAGUAUAAUUAAAUAUGAUAAUAAAGAUUAAAAUAAUUCUGAAAAAUAAUAGAUAAAAAAUGGUCUAGAAAAAUAUGAGCCCUAGCAUAUGAUAAUAAUUCUUGUAAAUAAUAAUGCUGAAAAAUAAUAGAAAAAUAAUAGAAAAAAUAAUGGGAAAAAUAAUAGAAAAAAUAAUAGAAAAAAUAAUGGGAAAAUGGUCUAGAAAAAUAUGAGCCCGCGAUUUUGAGGGAAAAAUAUGGAAACCGCUGACCGGAAGUUGGGUGAGAUCGCGGGCCGAAAAAGUGGUCUAGAACCCUCAUUCCCUAUACUACUUGCCGCCAUUUUGUUUAUUUAUGUACGUAGCCGGUCGGGGCGGGAAAAAUUUUUUCACUUAUUGCCCGGGCGGGAUACAUUGCAUUUAUCUAAAGCCACGUGACUACAAAUCAGCCAAUCACGUUUGGUGUUCACACUAGCUAUAUAACAAUAUUCAUUAAACAUUCAAAGCGAACUUGCCCUAUUUUUCACGAUUUUCCAUAGUAGCGAAAUCAAUUCUUCUCAAUCGGCCAACAAAAAUUGCUUCAAAUCGAUCUCAUUGUGUGAAACGUGAUUUUCCAAAUAUAUGCUCUUGAAAAUUGAAAUCUGCCUUUAGUAUCCUCAGUGUGCUUAUCCCACUCCUGGCAA